GACGAACGCUGGCGGCGUGCCUAAUACAUGCAAGUUGAGCGCUGAAGGUUGGUACUUGUACCGACUGGAUGAGCAGCGAACGGGUGAGUAACGCGUGGGGAAUCUGCCUUUGAGCGGGGGACAGCAUUUGGAAACGAAUGCUAAUACCGCAUAAAAACUUUAAACACAAGUUUUAAGUUUGAAAGAUGCAAUUGCAUCACUCAAAGAUGAUCCCGCGUUGUAUUAGCUAGUUGGUGAGGUAAAGGCUCACCAAGGCGAUGAUACAUAGCCGACCUGAGAGGGUGAUCGGCCACAUUGGGACUGAGACACGGCCCAAACUCCUACGGGAGGCAGCAGUAGGGAAUCUUCGGCAAUGGACGAAAGUCUGACCGAGCAACGCCGCGUGAGUGAAGAAGGUUUUCGGAUCGUAAAACUCUGUUGGUAGAGAAGAACGUUGGUGAGAGUGGAAAGCUCAUCAAGUGACGGUAACUACCCAGAAAGGGACGGCUAACUACGUG
rnacentral:rRNA from 1 species